UACCAGCACCCCGAGUGGUCGGGACGAUUAUUGGGCCUAAAGCAUCCGUAGCCGGCCUUACAAGUCCUCCGUUAAAUCCAGCUGCUUAACAGAUGGGCUGCGGAGGAUACUAUAAGACUAGGAGGCAGGAGAGGCAAGCGGUACUCAGUGGGUAGGGGGUAAAAUCCGUUGAUCCAUUGAAGACCACCAGUGGCGAAGGCGGCUUGCCAGAAUGCGCUCGACGGUGAGGGAUGAAAGCUGGGGGGAGCAAACCGG
rnacentral:rRNA from 1 species